AAUUUAGUUGCUUAAAACAAUGACCAUUUUGUUAUGUGCACAGAGUCUGUGAGUCAGGAGUUCUGACAGGCACAAUGGUUGCAAGUUCCUUCUACCCUAACUUUGGGGCAUCACUUCUGCCGCAUUCUAUGGGUUACAAGCAAGUCACUCAGACCAGCCCAGUUCCAAGUGGAGGGGAGCUAGCCUCUGCCUCUUGAUGAGGAAGAGGCAAGGUGACAUUACUAAUGACCAUGCGGUAUGGAACAUAUUGUUGUAGCCAUCUUUGAAAGAUACAGUCUGCCCUGGGGGAUCACUGAAAGCUUUUAAGCAAGGGGAGUAAUAGGAUCAGACUAUUGGUUUAGAAAGAUCAUUGUGGCUGUAGUGAGAGAAUUGGUUGGAACAGACUAAGACUAGAACCAGAGAGAUUGGUAGGAGUUUGUCUGUAGUGAAGAUGGUAGUGUGGAAUCUAGACAGACUAGAAAGAUAUUUUAUAGGUGCAAUUACCAAGAGUUAGGACUGAUUGUUUGACAGUGAGGGGACAUCAAGGUUCAGGCUUAAAUAAUUGGUAACUGGUUCCAUUAACUGACAGGCACACAGGAGCAGGAUAGAUUUGGGGGAAGACAAUGGGCUCAUUUUUGGAUGUUUGCAUUUGGGGUUUCUGAAAAGCAUUCAAGAUCAAAGCAGAAUUUUCUAAUUGGUGACAUGGGCUUAUUUUCAGGAAAAAGAGAUACUGAUUUAAAAAUCAUCAAUGUGAAGUUGGUAAUAGAGAUUUUUUUUUGGGGGGGAUGAGAUUUACGAGAAAGAAUACAUGGAAUGAGAAAAAAUGGGGCUCAACAGAAUUCUGGGGAGAAUCAGAAUUUUAGGUUCAGAGAAAGGAGCUUAUAAACAAGGCUGAGGAAUGGCCAAAGAGGUAGGAGGGUGUUAGGGAUUUUGAGCUGAGGAGAUUAUAAUGGACUUUCUAUAUGAGUGCAAAAUGCCAUUGCAAGUGUCCUUACAAGAAAGAGGCAGAAGGAGAUUACAUGCAUGUAGAGA
rnacentral:lncRNA from 1 species